rnacentral:snRNA from 1 species
GUUCAGCUGCACAUAUACUAAAAUUGGAAGUAUACAGAAGAUUAGCAUGGCCCCUGCUCAAGGAUAUCUCACAAAGAAUAAUGCGUAUGUCAAAGAUAC